AUUGAACGCUGGCGGCAGGCCUAACACAUGCAAGUCGAACGGUAACAGGAAGAAGCUUGCUUCUUUGCUGACGAGUGGCGGACGGGUGAGUAAUGUCUGGGAAACUGCCUGAUGGAGGGGGAUAACUACUGGAAACGGUAGCUACUACCGCAUAAUGUCGCAAGACCAAAGAGGGGGACCUUCGGGCCUCUUGCCUUCGGAUGUGCCCAGAUGGGAUUAGCUAGUAGGUGGGGUAACGGCUCACCUAGGCGACGAUCCCUAGCUGGUCUGAGAGGAUGACCAGCCACACUGGAACUGAGACACGGUCCAGACUCCUACGGGAGGCAGCAGUGGGGAAUAUUGCACAAAGGGCGCAAGCCUGAUGCAGCUAUGCCGCGUGUAUGAAGAAGGCCUUCGGGUUGUAAAGUACUUUCAGCGGGGAGGAAGGGAGUAAAGUUAAUACCUUUGCUCAUUGACGUUACCCGCAGAAGAAGCACCGGCUAACUCCGUG
rnacentral:rRNA from 1 species